UACGUAGGUGGCAAGCGUUACUCGGAAUCACUAGGCGUAAAGCGCUCGUAGGCGGUUUGAUAAGUCUGUUGUGAAAGCGCCCGGCUUAACUGGGAGAGGUCAACGGAAACUGUCAGGCUAGAGUGUGGUAGAGGUAGCUGGAAUUCCCGGUGUAGCGGUGAAAUGCGUAGAUAUCGGGAGGAAUACCGAUGGCGAAAGCAGGCUACUGGACCAUAACUGACGCUGAGCUGCGAAAGCUAGGGGAGCAAACAGG
rnacentral:rRNA from 1 species